rnacentral:lncRNA from 1 species
CUCAUUCCUUCUCUUCUUCUUUCUAUACGUUGGUGUUCUAACCAAUAAUCACCAAUACGAUAUUCUGUCCGAUCGAUCCGAGAACCAACUAACGAAUGCCAAAGUUCUGAUCUCGUGACCAUCGUUAGGUUUGAUUUGGUUUAACACUAAUACGUAUUCCACUCUGUUAAACUAAAUGUUUAACUAUCAGAAAACUCCAAACUGUACACUUAAAAUCAAACAAGAUGUUUAAUCAUCAGAAGAUUCAGAACUCUAAAGUAGAUGCUUAAUUAUCAGAGAUUUAGAAUCAGGAGGCCUGUUAAAUCUAGACUAUAAGAGCUACAAGGUGAUUACAGUAGAUUGGAAUAAGAGUUGUGAUACGGCACCGAAAGGCUCAAAGAAGUGGCUUAUUUUAUCAAAUAAAUUAAAUUAAAUUAAACGUUAUUUUUAUGU